rnacentral:rRNA from 1 species
UACGUAGGGGUGCGAGCGUUGUCCGGAAUUACUGGGCGUAAAGAGCUCGUAGGUGGUUUGUCGCGUUGUCCGUGAAAUUCCCCUGGCUUAACUGGGGGCGUGCGGGCGAUACGGGGCAGACUGGAGUACUGCAGGGGAGACUGGAAUUCCCUGGGUGUAGCGGGUGGAAUGCGCAGAUAUCAGGGAGGGAAACCACCCGGGUGGGCGGAAGGGCGGG